rnacentral:rRNA from 1 species
AGUGAACGCUGGCGGUAGGCCUAACACAUGCAAGUCGAACGGCAGCACAGUAAGAGCUUGCUCUUACGGGUGGCGAGUGGCGGACGGGUGAGGAAUAAACCGGAAUCUACUUUUUCGUGGGGGAUAACGUAGGGAAACUUACGCUAAUACCGCAUACGACCUACGGGUGAAAGCAGGGGAUCUUCGGACCUUGCGCGAUUGAAUGAGCUGAUGUCGGAUUAGCUAGUUGGCGGGGUAAAGGCCCACCAAGGCGACGAUCCGUAGCUGGUCUGAGAGGAUGAUCAGCCACACUGGAACUGGGACACGGUCCAGACUCCUACGGGAGGCAGCAGUGGGGAAUAUUGGGCAAUGGGCGCAAGCCUGAUCCAGCCAUACCGCGUGGGUGAAGAAGGCCUUCGGGUUGUAAAGCCCUUUUGUUGGGAAAGAAAAGCAGCAGGUUAAUACCCCGCUGUUCUGACGGUACCCAAAGAAUAAGCACCGGCUAACUUCGUG